rnacentral:lncRNA from 1 species
AGGUUGCCCAGUACACCUUGAACAUGUUGAAGAGGCGUGUGCCCCCUGCCGUUCCUGGAAUCAUGGUAAUUUUAAAUACUUCUGACCUAUCCUUGGAUUCUGCUAUACCUUGACUUCUGCCUUCAAGUGUGAGACUACCGAUUGCUUGAAACGAUACGUCAUGCAUAGAGGAACUCUAAUCUGUUUCAACUUGCUUGUGCAGUUCUUGUCUGGUGGACAAUCUGAGGUCGAAGCAACUUUGAACUUGAAUGCCAUGAACCAGAGCCCCAACCCAUGGCACGUGUCUUUCUCAUACGCCCGUGCCCUUCAGAACUCUGUCUUGAAGACAUGGAAGGGACAGCCAGAGAAUGUGGAGGCUGCCCAGAGGGCACUCCUUGUGCGUGCUAAGGCUAACUCUUUGGCUCAGUUGGGUAAGUACUCCGCUGAGGGCGAGGCUGAGGAAGCCAAGCAGGGAAUGUUUGUCAAGGGCUACACCUACUAAGCAGAUUCGGACAAACCCACCUUGAUUUUGUAGUAUGUAGAAAUGAGGCAUGUGUACCUGCCUGUAGAUCAUUAUUAGUUGUCUCAUGUUGCAAGAACCUGAUAAGUCAUCUACUCGAUUAGUGUUUUUCCUGUACGAUCCGUCGACUAUUUAAUCUAAACUUACGAGUGGAGAAUUUUAACAAAAUCUUGCAACUGAGUUUUUCCCCGAGCCUAUCGUACACUUGCUUUGCAUUUGCGUGGUCUCAUGUUUCUCAGCUUUCUUCCUGUUCAAUGGUAAUUUGGACUGAGCAUUUUCGAAAUUAAGUAGGACUGAUGUUUCAUGAGGUACCUAAUCUUUUGUUGUCCGAGUACACUUCGAAUCUAUGACGUUGAUAUACAUUGUAUGACCAUCCUAGCAUAACUACUUAUGGCCUGAAGUAGAAAGACAAGAAUGUAAUGAUGAGAAUGGUUACAAU